rnacentral:rRNA from 1 species
CCCUUAGAUGUUCUGGGCCGCACGCGCGCUACACUGAUGCAUUCAACGAGUUUCUUCCUGGUCCGAGAGGAAUGGGUAACCUUUUGAAAGUGCAUCGUGAUAGGGAUAGACUAUUGCAAUUAUUGGUCUUCAACGAGGAAUUCCUAGUAGACGUAGUUCAUCAGACUGCAUCGAUUACGUCCCUGCCCUUUGUACACACCGCCCGUCGCUCCUACCGAUUGAAUGCUCAGAUGAGCCAUUCGGACUUUCAUCAUGCUGGUUUCCAGUUUUGAUGAAGGAAAGUCUUGCGAACCUUAUCAUUUAGAGGAAGGAGAAGUCGUAACA